AGAAGCGGAAAUCUUUAAGAUGGGCCCACGUCCCAUUAGCUAUUUGGUGAGGUAACGGCUCACCAAGGCGACGAUGGGUAACCAGCCUGAGAGGGUGUACGGCCACGCUGGGACUGACACACAGCCCAGACUCCUACAGGAGGCAACAGUAGGGAAUAUUGCGCAAUGGACGGAAGUCUGACGCAGCGACACCGCGUGAGCGAUGAAGGUCUUCGGAUCGUAUAGCUCUGUCCUUGGGGAAGAAGGUCUUCGGACUUGACGGUACCCAAGAAGAAAGCCCCGGCUAACUACGUGCCACCAGCCGCGGUAAUACAUAGGGGGCGAGCGUUGUCCGGAAUUACUGGGCGUAAAGGGUGCGUACGCGGCCCUUUUUUUCAUAUGUGAAAGGCCCCGGCUUAACCGUGCGAUUGUGUUUUAAACUGGAGGGCUUGAGUGUCUGAGAGAGUAGUGGAAUUCUCAUUGUAUCGCUGAAAUGCGUAUAUAUUGGGAGGAACACCCCUGGCGAAAGCGACU
rnacentral:rRNA from 1 species